rnacentral:rRNA from 1 species
GACGAACGCUGGCGGCGUGCUUAACACAUGCAAGUCGAACGGAAAGGCCCUGCUUUUGUGGGGUGCUCGAGUGGCGAACGGGUGAGUAACACGUGAGUAACCUGCCCUUGACUUUGGUAUAACUUCAGGAAACUGGGGCUAAUACCGGAUAGGAGCUCCUGCUGCAUGGUGGGGGUUGGAAAGUUUCGGCGGUUGGGGAUGGACUCGCGGCUUAUCAGCUUGUUGGUGGGGUAGUGGCUUACCAAGGCUUUGACGGGUAGCCGGCCUGAGAGGGUGACCGGCCACAUUGGGACUGAGAUACGGCGCAGACUCCUACGGGAGGCAGCAGUGGGGAAUAUUGCACAAUGGGAGGAAGCCUGAUGCAGCAACGCCGCGUGCGGGAUGACGGCCUUCGGGUUGUAAACCGCUUUCGCCUGUGACGAAGCGUGAGUGACGGUAAUGGGUAAAGAAGCACCGGCUAACUACGUG